GAUGAACGCUGGCGGCGUGCCUAAUACAUGCAAGUCGAACGCGCAGCGAGAGGUGCUUGCACCUUUCAAGCGAGUGGCGAACGGGUGAGUAACACGUGGAUAACCUGCCUCAAGGCUGGGGAUAACAUUUGGAAACAGAUGCUAAUACCGAAUAAAACUUAGUAUCGCAUGAUAUCAAGUUAAAAGGCGCUACGGCGUCACCUAGAGAUGGAUCCGCGGUGCAUUAGUUAGUUGGUGGGGUAAAGGCUUACCAAGACGAUGAUGCAUAGCCGGGUUGAGAGACUGAUCGGCCACAUUGGGACUGAGACACGGCCCAAACUCCUACGGGAGGCUGCAGUAGGGAAUCUUCCACAAUGGGCGAAAGCCUGAUGGAGCAACGCCGCGUGUGUGAUGAAGGCUUUCGGGUCGUAAAGCACUGUUGUAUGGGAAGAAAUGCUAAAAUAGGAAAUGAUUUUAGUUUGACGGUACCAUACCAGAAAGGGACGGCUAAAUACGUGCCAGCAGCCGCCGUAA
rnacentral:rRNA from 1 species